GCAAGUCGAGCGGACAGAAGGGAGCUUGCUCCCGGAUGUUAGCGGCGGACGGGUGAGUAACACGUGGGUAACCUGCCUGUAAGACUGGGAUAACUCCGGGAAACCGGAGCUAAUACCGGAUAGUUCCUUGAACCGCAUGGUUCAAGGAUGAAAGACGGUUUCGGCUGUCACUUACAGAUGGACCCGCGGCGCAUUAGCUAGUUGGUGGGGUAAUGGCUCACCAAGGCGACGAUGCGUAGCCGACCUGAGAGGGUGAUCGGCCACACUGGGACUGAGACACGGCCCAGACUCCUACGGGAGGCAGCAGUAGGGAAUCUUCCGCAAUGGACGAAAGUCUGACGGAGCAACGCCGCGUGAGUGAUGAAGGUUUUCGGAUCGUAAAGCUCUGUUGUUAGGGAAGAACAAGUGCGAGAGUAACUGCUCGCACCUUGACGGUACCUAACCAGAAAGCCACGGCUAACUACGUGCCAGCAGCCGCGGUAAUACGUAGGUGGCAAGCGUUGUCCGGAAUUAUUGGGCGUAAAGGGCUCGCAGGCGGUUUCUUAAGUCUGAUGUGAAAGCCCCCGGCUCAACCGGGGAGGGUCAUUGGAAACUGGGAAACUUGAGUGCAGAAGAGGAGAGUGGAAUUCCACGUGUAGCGGUGAAAUGCGUAGAGAUGUGGAGGAACACCAGUGGCCGAAGGCGACUCUCUGGGUCUGUAACUGACGCUGAGGAGCGAAAGCGUGCGGAACGAACAGGGAUUAAAUACCCUGGGUAGUCCACGCCGGUAAACGAUG
rnacentral:rRNA from 1 species